rnacentral:rRNA from 1 species
UACGUAGGCAGCAAGCGUUGUUCGGAGUUACUGGGCGUAAAGGGUGUGUAGGCGGUUUGGUAAGUGUGGGGUGAAAUCUCCCGGCUCAACUGGGAGGGUGCGCUACAAACUGUCUGACUAGAGUGUGGGAUGGGAAAGUGGAAUUCCUGGUGUAGCGGUGAAAUGCGUAGAUAUCAGGAGGAACACCGGUGGUGUAGACGGCUUUCUGGACCAUAACUGACGCUGAGACACGAAAGCGUGGGUAGCAAACAGG